GUCUCUGUGGCGCAAUCGGUUAGCGCGUUCGGCUGAUAACGGAAAGGUUGGUGGUUCAAGCCCACCCAGGGACG
rnacentral:tRNA from 1 species